rnacentral:rRNA from 1 species
GAUGAGCCCGCGUCUGAUUAGCUAGUUGGUGUGGUAAUGGCGCACCAAGGCGACGAUCAGUAGCUGGUCUGAGAGGAUGAUCAGCCACACUGGGACUGAGACACGGCCCAGACUCCUACGGGAGGCAGCAGUGGGGAAUUUUCCGCAAUGGGCGAAAGCCUGACGGAGCAACGCCGCGUGAGGGACGAAGGCCUCUGGGCUGUAAACCUCUUUUCUCAAGGAAGAAGACAUGACGGUACUUGAGGAAUAAGCCACGGCUAAUUCCGUGCCAGCAGCCGCGGUAAUACGAGAGUGGCAAGCGUUAUCCGGAAUUAUUGGGCGUAAAGCGUCCGCAGGCGGCCCUGUAAGUCUGUCGUCAAAGCGUGGAGCUUAACUCCAUUUCGGCGGUGGAAACUACAGGGCUUGAGUGUGGUAGGGGCAGAGGGAAUUCCCGGUGUAGCGGUGAAAUGCGUAGA